ensembl:lncRNA
AUGGUUGCAGCAAUGCAGACUACCGUAGCUAGCGAGGGAGAUCCGCGGCUUUGCUCAUGCGGGAACAAGAUCUCAUGCAAAGACACACACCAGGUCUGCUCUGCAUGUCUUGGGCUGAAACAUGCUCAAAUGGCGGUCGAUAGUCCCGGAUCCUGUGAGCACUGCGCGCGUUUCAUCAUGAAGAGCCUCUGUCGCAGGUUAGCACACCAAGCUAGCUUGUCUGGCCAUGAUCCCCUCAUGUCAGCUAGUCCUGCUCCGGUUUCCGCCCCUCAGGUACCCAUUCCUGUAGAGCUGCCCACCACAGCAACUCUAUCGUGGGGUGAACAACUGGAUGUAUGCGCCCCUCUGGCCGGUGUCCUCAGCACGGACGAGGAGGAGGAGGAGGGCGCAUUUGAAUUUGAGGAAGAGGGGCAAUUGGAUUUCCUUCUCUCUGAUUUCAAGGAUUCCCCUUUUCUCCCCCCUGCACAAUCGGCACAAUCCCUCGCUACGGCGGGAUCCACGGAGGAGGCAGGCGGGGCACCAUCCUCUCCGCUUCUUAGUGUGGAUCUGCAAGAUGUGUGCAAACGCGCUGCAGAGAAACUCAAUAUUCCGUGGCCGACCGUAAUAGCUGAGACUGCAAAGUCGCGUUAUGAGGGGAAAAGGCUGCUGAGAGAUAAAUGGGCAGCGAGACAACUCCUUCCAAUCUUUCCAGAGCUUCUGGAAGAGGUUUCUGUCAUCUGGAAGGACAACCCUUUUACUAGUAAAAUGCCCGUGCAAGGGGGAUCUGCGCUCGACGUGGAGGGUAUGGAGAAGGAGGGCCUUCUUCGCAUGCCCCCCAUGGAGCCUUUAGUUGCAGCGCAUCUGCAUCCAAAGCGUACGGCGGCUGCAAACCCAACGUUGCCAUCAAAAGCGGACCGCUUCCAGUCAAGCAUGACGGAGCGCGCUUACAAAGCAGUCGCUCUCUCAGUCCGGGCCAUGAACGCCAUCUCUCUGCUCACCGCAUACCAGGCAGAGCUACAAGACGAGAUGUCUGCCACGCCAAGUCAGACACAGUGGGAAGAAACACAGAUCUCUCGCUCCGUCUUCAGAGAUGUGCCGUUCAGGCUGCGGGCAAGGCCAUGGCCACAAUGGUCAUUCAGGAGAGAGGACACUGGCUUUAUUUGGCGAAUCUCUCUGACAGAGAAAAGGAAGCCAUCUUAG